GUCUGUUUUUUAGCUAAAGUUGUUUGGAUUUUUCUGGCUAUAAAUAACCCUGAAUGAUUUAAACAAAACCAAAUUUUGAGGCUGCAGAUCGUUAAGACGAGGAAAUGGUUUCUUUAUUAAAUGCGUCUACGGGCAGCAUUCUACUUUCCCUCAUCUGGAUCACGUUUGUUUCAGCAGAUCAAAGAAGCAUCCCAGCAGAACCUGGACAGGACGUCACUCUGCCAUGCAGAACCGCUGAUAACCAACCUGCUGUGGUCGUCGACUGGAGCAGAACUGAUCUGGGAGAAGAUUUUGUUCUUUUAUAUCGGGUCAAUAAGUUGAAUUCAGAAGGACAACAUCCAUCUUUUAGGAACCGGGUGGGUCUGCGGGACGAAGAGAUGAAGGAUGGAGACGUGUCUUUGGUUCUGAGGAACGUGAAAGCUGCUGACAGAGGAACUUAUGAGUGUCGAGUUGCUCAGACAGGAAAUGGAAGAAAUAAAAGAGCGGUGCUGGAUUUUGAACCCGUCUGCACCGUCUACCUGGAUGUAACUUCUCCUGCAGGGUCGGAUGGACAAAACAACGGCAGAGCAAACGAACGCGGUGCGACCAAUAAAGGAUGGAAUAAGGAUGGAGAUGAUUGGUACAUAAUUGGUCAGACAGUCUGGCUGAUGAUUGUUUUUUCUGUUGGGUUUAUGAUUCUUUACUAUCUACGCAAUAGGCUUUAGGUUCUCUUUAGUUUACACAGUAAUGAAUGUUAUGAGGAGAGAACAAAGAAAAUCUUUGUUAAGGAUGAGCAUCCACAUCCUCAUCAUCAACCUCCAUUAUGAUUCAACUCUCCACAACAACUCUUCAGCUGCAGCAGUGCAUGACUGUCACACCAACAGGGACCAAGGCUCAACGCCAAAGUCCCAAUUUUUUAUUUUAUUUAACCUUUAUUUACUAAUAAUUGAAAUUGAACAUUUCUUUUUCCACUUAAAAGCAUUUAAGGAAUAAAACUCAACUGAUCAUUUUAAAUUAUAAUAAAGACUGAAUUUAUCUAAGAUGAUAACAAAAAUG